UACGGGGGGAGCAAGCGUUGUUCGGAUUUACUGGGCGUAAAGGGCGCGUAGGCGGUCGUGACAAGUCACUUGUGAAAUCUCCGGGCUUAACUCGGAACGGUCAAGUGAUACUGUCGGACUAGAGUACAGAAGGGGCAACGUGGAAUUCUCGGUGUAGCGGUGAAAUGCGUAGAUAUCGUAAGGAAGACCAGUGGCGAAGGCGGGUCUCUGGACAGUUCCUGA
rnacentral:rRNA from 1 species